UUAUUGUUUAGGAGCUAGGAAAUCAAUGAUCAUACAGCAUUGGGUGUCUAUAAAUAUAAUUGCCACUCCAAAUUUCCCUAUGGAUGUGACUUUGGCAACAUAAGUCUUUUGAGCUUUCCACGCUCACGAAUUAAGGUAUUGGUGCUUACGCCUUACGGGUAUGCAGGAUGCAUCAGAUUAAUCUUGUUACCAAUUGUUGGAAGUGCAGCAGAGCAUGCGCGCAGGAGCAAUCAUAUUUGCUUUUAAGAACAAGUUGGAUAUAAAUUUAGGUGUUGCUUUAGGGCCGGUCUGCAACGAUAACUCAAAUUGCAAUGUUUGUGGUUCCUGCAUUAUGCGUGGUCGUAGAAUAUUGGAUUAUGGGAAUUAAGAUGGAUCUUGAUUUCAAUAUUCUUGAGACAUGCUCUCUUGCUCUAUCAAUAAUUGCUACGGCGGCCUUCACUUUACAUGUAAGAAUAUUGAAAUAACUAUUAUAAUAUCUAUUGACGUAAGUUGUAUCUAAAAUUGAUAUAACUAUUAUAAUAUUUAUUGAUGUAAGUUAUAUCGAAAUAUGGUGAUAAUUCAGAAGAAA